rnacentral:rRNA from 1 species
GGGUUGUGAGGUUAAGCGACUAAGCGUACACGGUGGAUGCCCUGGCAGUCAGAGGCGAUGAAGGACGUGCUAAUCUGCGAUAAGCGUCGGUAAGGUGAUAUGAACCGUUAUAACCGGCGAUUUCCGAAUGGGGAAACCCAGUGUGUUUCGACACACUAUCAUUAACUGAAUCCAUAGGUUAAUGAGGCGAACCGGGGGAACUGAAACAUCUAAGUACCCCGAGGAAAAGAAAUCAACCGAGAUUCCCCCAGUAGCGGCGAGCGAACGGGGAGGAGCCCAGAGCCUGAAUCAGUGUGUGUGUUAGUGGAAGCGUCUGGAAAGGCGCGCGAUACAGGGUGACAGCCCCGUACACAAAAAUGCACAUACUGUGAGCUCGAUGAGUAGGGCGGGACACGUGGUAUCCUGUCUGAAUAUGGGGGGACCAUCCUCCAAGGCUAAAUACUCCUGACUGACCGAUAGUGAACCAGUACCGUGAGGGAAAGGCGAAAAGAACCCCGGCGAGGGGAGUGAAAAAGAACCUGAAACCGUGUACGUACAAGCAGUGGGAGCCUCUUUUAUGGGGUGACUGCGUACCUUUUGUAUAAUGGGUCAGCGACUUAUAUUCUGUAGCAAGGUUAACCGAAUAGGGGAGCCGAAGGGAAACCGAGUCUUAACUGGGCGUUAAGUUGCAGGGUAUAGACCCGAAACCCGGUGAUCUAGCCAUGGGCAGGUUGAAGGUUGGGUAACACUAACUGGAGGACCGAACCGACUAAUGUUGAAAAAUUAGCGGAUGACUUGUGGCUGGGGGUGAAAGGCCAAUCAAACCGGGAGAUAGCUGGUUCUCCCCGAAAGCUAUUUAGGUAGCGCCUCGUGAAUUCAUCUCCGGGGGUAGAGCACUGUUUCGGCAAGGGGGUCAUCCCGACUUACCAACCCGAUGCAAACUGCGAAUACCGGAGAAUGUUAUCACGGGAGACACACGGCGGGUGCUAACGUCCGUCGUGAAGAGGGAAACAACCCAGACCGCCAGCUAAGGUCCCAAAGUCAUGGUUAAGUGGGAAACGAUGUGGGAAGGCCCAGACAGCCAGGAUGUUGGCUUAGAAGCAGCCAUCAUUUAAAGAAAGCGUAAUAGCUCACUGGUCGAGUCGGCCUGCGCGGAAGAUGUAACGGGGCUAAACCAUGCACCAUGCUGGAGGUAUCAGAAGUGCGAAUGCUGACAUAAGUAACGAUAAAGCGGGUGAAAAGCCCGCUCGCCGGAAGACCAAGGGUUCCUGUCCAACGUUAAUCGGGGCAGGGUGAGUCGACCCCUAAGGCGAGGCCGAAAGGCGUAGUCGAUGGGAAACAGGUUAAUAUUCCUGUACUUGGUGUUACUGCGAAGGGGGGACGGAGAAGGCUAUGUUGGCCGGGCGACGGUUGUCCCGGUUUAAGCGUGUAGGCUGGUUUUCCAGGCAAAUCCGGAAAAUCAAGGCUGAGGCGUGAUGACGAGGCACUACGGUGCUGAAGCAACAAAUGCCCUGCUUCCAGGAAAAGCCUCUAAGCAUCAGGUAACAUCAAAUCGUACCCCAAACCGACACAGGUGGUCAGGUAGAGAAUACCAAGGCGCUUGAGAGAACUCGGGUGAAGGAACUAGGCAAAAUGGUGCCGUAACUUCGGGAGAAGGCACGCUGAUAUGUAGGUGAAGCGACUUGCUCGUGGAGCUGAAAUCAGUCGAAGAUACCAGCUGGCUGCAACUGUUUAUUAAAAACACAGCACUGUGCAAACACGAAAGUGGACGUAUACGGUGUGACGCCUGCCCGGUGCCGGAAGGUUAAUUGAUGGGGUUAGCGGUAACGCGAAGCUCUUGAUCGAAGCCCCGGUAAACGGCGGCCGUAACUAUAACGGUCCUAAGGUAGCGAAAUUCCUUGUCGGGUAAGUUCCGACCUGCACGAAUGGCGUAAUGAUGGCCAGGCUGUCUCCACCCGAGACUCAGUGAAAUUGAACUCGCUGUGAAGAUGCAGUGUACCCGCGGCAAGACGGAAAGACCCCGUGAACCUUUACUAUAGCUUGACACUGAACAUUGAGCCUUGAUGUGUAGGAUAGGUGGGAGGCUUUGAAGUGUGGACGCCAGUCUGCAUGGAGCCGACCUUGAAAUACCACCCUUUAAUGUUUGAUGUUCUAACGUUGGCCCCUGAUCGGGGUUGCGGACAGUGUCUGGUGGGUAGUUUGACUGGGGCGGUCUCCUCCUAAAGAGUAACGGAGGAGCACGAAGGUUGGCUAAUCCUGGUCGGACAUCAGGAGGUUAGUGCAAUGGCAUAAGCCAGCUUGACUGCGAGCGUGACGGCGCGAGCAGGUGCGAAAGCAGGUCAUAGUGAUCCGGUGGUUCUGAAUGGAAGGGCCAUCGCUCAACGGAUAAAAGGUACUCCGGGGAUAACAGGCUGAUACCGCCCAAGAGUUCAUAUCGACGGCGGUGUUUGGCACCUCGAUGUCGGCUCAUCACAUCCUGGGGCUGAAGUAGGUCCCAAGGGUAUGGCUGUUCGCCAUUUAAAGUGGUACGCGAGCUGGGUUUAGAACGUCGUGAGACAGUUCGGUCCCUAUCUGCCGUGGGCGCUGGAGAACUGAGGGGGGCUGCUCCUAGUACGAGAGGACCGGAGUGGACGCAUCACUGGUGUUCGGGUUGUCAUGCCAAUGGCACUGCCCGGUAGCUAAAUGCGGAAGAGAUAAGUGCUGAAAGCAUCUAAGCACGAAACUUGCCCCGAGAUGAGUUCUCCCUGAGACUUUAAGUCUCCUGAAGGAACGUUGAAGACGACGACGUUGAUAGGCCGGGUGUGUAAGCGCAGCGAUGCGUUGAGCUAACCGGUACUAAUGAACCGUGAGGCUUAACCUUACAACGCCGAAG